CUGCCGCAUUGGUACUAUUCUCAGUGUUGUGUUCCUUCCAGGAUGUGUUGUACCAAUGUACAAGGAGAAGAUUGUGACUGUUGAUAACGAAAAACGUCUCAAGGAGAUACAAAUGAUUGAAGGUGGAUACUUGGAAAUGGGAUGUUCAUUUUGUAUGUUAAGCUUCGAAAUACUUGUGAAGGAAAGGAAUUCAUGCAUCAUCAAGACAGUUACUAAGUACGAAAUCUAUGAUGAUUUAGCUACUGGCGUUUCUUCUCAUUUUCACACUAGCUUUGAUACAUGGGUUGCCUUAGCUCAACAAGUUUCAAAACAUAUUGCAGAGAAAAAUGCAAGAGCAGCUAAUUAAGUUGCUGCAAGCCUGCGACCUUUCGUAAUGAUUUUUCCAUUUGCGGAGUUUGCUGAUCCUAUUAUCGUUAAGAAUCAAUUGUAUAUAUGUAUUACUGUUGGAUUAACUUCAACAUAGAAGUCACUAACAUGCUGGUUAGGACAAGAUUAGGAAAUUGAUGUAAUCCUAAGGGAAUUAGAAGUCAUCUAGUUCUAAGAAAAGGAAAGACAUGUAAUAAGGUAAUAGGACUAGGAAAAGGAAUUCAUAGUUCUAUAUAUAUAUGAUCAUCAAAGUUGUGGUUGAUCAUAAGAGCAAGAUUAGAGCUUGUGUUCAGUUUUGAGAGAUUUUCUAAACAUCAAUAAAGAGAGUUGUCUUUAUA